CCUACGGGUGGCAGCAGUAGGGAAUAUUGCUCAAUGGGGGAAACCCUGAAGCAGCAACGCCGCGUGGAUGAAGAAGGUAUUCGGAUUGUAAACUUCUUUUGGGAGGGAAGAUAAUGACGGUAACUCAGUAAUAAGCACCGGCUAACCCCGUGCCAGCAGCCGCGGUAAUACGUAGGGGGCAAGCGUUAGUCGGAUUUACUGGGCGUAAAGGGUGCGUAGGCGGGAGUGCAAGUCAGGAGUGAAAGGCGGUGGCUUAACCACCGGACUGCCUUUGAAACUGUGCGUCUAGAGUGCGGGAGAGGUAGGUGGAAUUCAUGGUGUAGGGGUAAAAUGCGUAGAUAUUAGGAGGAAUACUGAUGGCGAAGGCGACUUACUGGAAUGUAACUGACGCUGAGGCACGAAAGCGUGGGGAGCAAACAGGAUUAGAUACCCCAGUAGUC
rnacentral:rRNA from 1 species